rnacentral:lncRNA from 1 species
ACAAGGUGGGGCAUCCCAACUCCUGUUCUUCUCUUUCUUAUUUUGAGGCUUGUAUAAUAAGUCAUCCUUUUGAUUGGAAAUUUAUAGAAAGUGUGGUAUAGAGAUUUUGAUUGAUUAUAAAAGGGAAAGUGUAAGAGAUUAAUUGAAAUUGAUUUACAUAAAUAGAGUAUUUUCACUACACAAAAUUUGAUGGGAGUAGAGUUAUGAAAAAUGAAGGAUAAUGGUUCACCUCAAUCAUGAUGAUCUAUAUAAAGAAUGAAUGGAUGAAAUAUCGUCACCCCAUAGGUCUUUGUGAUAAGAGGUCAAGAUUGAGUCUUAUAAUGACGAUAAAACUCUAACCCUAAAAACCCUACCCUCUAUGUUAUUAUGCUAGUUAUGGGGGGCUUCAUUAUCUACACUUGAACUUAGUCUCUCUUUCUCUCUCUCUGUCUCUCUCUCUCUGGUCUCUAGGGUUGGCACACGCUUCUCUAAUAUCUCUGUCUUUCUCUCUCAACUUAGCUUAGGGUUUAAUUGUAAGGGGGGCAUGCCCAAGCUAAAAGAGGCCACCCCUAGCUUAUGUGCAUUGAGAUAUGCUCAUGUGUUGAGCAUUGGUUUAACCCUAUCCCAUGUUAUGCUCUUUAGUGUUUUUCAUAGGUCUCCCAAAUUUAUGAGACAAGUUUGAACCUAUAUCCUGUGCGUUAUUGGUGGAGGAGAUACGGCGUGGGGUGUAUGAAGUCCUUAAGGAUAACUUGAGGCAAUGUAUGCGGUAUUGCUAUAUUUCAUGCUUUCUUGAUUUUAUUCCAAGCUCAUAUUUAUGUUAUGAAUAAGUUUUUGUUUUGAUGGCAAGCAAGUAAGAGUCAUUGGCAUUCUUUGUGUUUUUAUUGGUUCAAAUAUUGUAUUUAAACCAGUGGUUCAAAAAACGGAUUGGUGCCCCGAAUCGAGCACCCCAAAAACCAUUCGAAUUGGUGAAUCGGCGUUUCAGAUCGGGAAUCGGUCGGAUUCGGCUUAAAAUAAUCCAAACAAUUUUAUUAAAAAUAACUAUUAAUGUUGCUUUUU